rnacentral:rRNA from 1 species
GCUGACGAGUGGCGAACGGGUGAGUAAAGUAUCGGAACGUACCUUUCAGUGGGGGAUAACGUAGCGAAAGUUACGCUAAUACCGCAUAUUCUGUGAGCAGGAAAGCAGGGGAUCGCAAGACCUUGCGCUGAUUGAGCGGCCGAUAUCAGAUUAGCUAGUUGGUGAGGUAAAGGCUCACCAAGGCGACGAUCUGUAGCGGGUCUGAGAGGAUGAUCCGCCACACUGGAACUGAGACACGGUCCAGACUCCUACGGGAGGCAGCAGUGGGGAAUUUUGGACAAUGGGGGCAACCCUGAUCCAGCCAUGCCGCGUGAGUGAGGAAGGCCUUCGGGUUGUAAAGCUCUUUCGGCCGGGAAGAAAUCGUAUGGGUUAAUACCCUGUGCGGAUGACGGUACCGGCAUAAGAAGCACCGGCUAACUACGUGCCAGCAGCCGCGGUAAUACGUAGGGUGCGAGCGUUAAUCGGAAUUACUGGGCGUAAAGCGUGCGCAGGCGGUUUUGUAAGACAGGCGUGAAAUCCCCGGGCUCAACCUGGGAACUGCGCCUGUGACUGCAAGGCUAGAGUAUGGCAGAGGGGGGUGGAAUUCCACGUGUAGCAGUGAAAUGCGUAGAGAUGUGGAGGAACACCAAUGGCGAAGGCAGCCCCCUGGGCCAAUACUGACGCUCAUGCACGAAAGCGUGGGUAGCAAACAGGAUUAGAUACCCUGGUAGUCCACGCCCUAAACGAUGUCAACUAGGUGUUGGGUGGGUAAAACCAUUUAGUACCGGAGCUAACGCGUGAAGUUGACCGCCUGGGGAGUACGGCCGCAAGGUUAAAACUCAAAGGAAUUGACGGGGACCCGCACAAGCGGUGGAUGAUGUGGAUUAAUUCGAUGCAACGCGAAAAACCUUACCUACCCUUGACAUGUCCAGGAGCCUGAAGAGAUUUGGGUGUGCCCGAAAGGGAACUGGAACACAGGUGCUGCAUGGCUGUCGUCAGCUCGUGUCGUGAGAUGUUGGGUUAAGUCCCGCAACGAGCGCAACCCUUGUCGUUAAUUGCCGUCAUUUAGUUGGGCACUUUAACGAGACUGCCGGUGACAAACCGGAGGAAGGUGGGGAUGACGUCAAGUCCUCAUGGCCCUUAUGGGUAGGGCUUCACACGUCAUACAAUGGUCGGUACAAAGGGUUGCCAACCCGCGAGGGGGAGCCAAUCCCAGAAAGCCGAUCGUAGUCCGGAUCGCAGGCUGCAACUCGCCUGCGUGAAGUCGGAAUCGCUAGUAAUCGUGGAUCAGCAUGUCACGGUGAAUACGUUCCCGGGUCUUGUACACACCGCCCGUCACACCAUGGGAGCGGGUUCCGCCAGAAGUAGGUAGCCUAACCGCAAGGGGGGCGCUUACCACGGCGGGGUUCGUGACUGGGGUGAAGUCGUAACAAGGUA